GUCUCGUUCCUGGUCUCCAAGUAUUCAAUUAUGUCCACUAUAUUCCUAACAUUAUCUUUCAAUUGUCAACCAGGAAUAAAACCUGCUUGAUCUUUAUGGAUUAGCUCAUUUAAGAUACUUUUUAAUCUAUUGGUCAAAAUAUCAGCAAACAACUUGUAAUUAUUCUUCAGUAAUGAAAUCGUAAUAUAUGCUUCUCUCCAGGUAUUUGGAAUGUUCCCUUCUUUCAGGAUAUUAUUCAAACUUCCCACAAUACUGUUUUCAGUUAUCCACUAAGAAUAUUAUAUUUUGCCAAAAUAACAUCCGGUCCUGGGGCUUUCCCCAACUUCAUACAUUUUAUUGCCAUUUCAAUUUCCUGCACCGUUAUUUGUCGAUUCAACUGUUCACUUUUUUCUCGUGGGAUUUGCUGUAAUUUAUAUCUUUGUAAAUAUCUCUCUAUUUUCUUGUAUCCUCUUUCCUACACAAGUCUUUAUAAAAUUUCUGAAAGAUCUUUCUGAUUUCUUCUGGAACCUCAAUUACCAUAUCUGCUUCUCUUAUUUUAUUGAUUGUAUUUUGACUUUGAUGUGGCUUUAAUUGCCAUGCUAAUAAUUUGCCAGUUUUAUUUGCCGAUUCAAAAUUCUUUUGUCUCAUUAAUUUUAUCUUCCACUUCACUUCUUGGUUCACCAUCAUGGAAAACUGAGUUUGCAACAUCUUAAUAUUUUGUUUUAUUGGUUCAUCUUUAGGCUUUAUUGUUAACAAUCUCUCAUUCUCCAUGAGGCGGGUCAGAAUUUCCACUUUCUUUUUUUCUCUUUCUCUUUUUUGAAAACCAUUCUUUUGUAUCAGAAAACCUCUCAUUACUGCUUUACUUGCAUCCCAUAUGAUGUCAAUGCCGGUUCGUUUAUUUAAAUUCCACUUGAAAUAAUCUGCUAUUGUCUCUUUUGCUUUUUUCACUAUUUUUUAAUCAUCAAACAGACUUUCAUUCUCCAUCUAAGGGAUGAUUGUUCUUUUCCUUUUAACUCCAUAUAUAACAAAUUAUGAUCCGCUAAUGGCCUUGGGAGAAUCUCAGUUUUGGAUACUCUUGGAAUUUACUCCCUGGAGGGCCAUAUGUAAUCUGUUCUUCCCAAACUUUGAUUUGGUUUAGCAAAGAAUGUAAACUGUUUUGUUGUAGGGGUUUUAAGUCUCCAAACAUCAGUUAAUCCAAGAUUGUCCACUAAAUCAAAAAAUGAUUUUGGUAACUUCUUUUAUGGAUAGGACUCAAACCAACGUAGAUAAAUAUUAUUUCUUGGUAACCACGUGGUGAUGCCAUUUUAAUUGUAAAGGGAUUAACUCCUCCCCUUCUGUUGCAACAUAGUAAUUUGACAGAGAGUGUUUUUUUAGUCCCCCCUUUUUUCUUUUAGAAGCUAUAUUUUUGCAUUUUAAUUUUUUGCUUUUGUGAAUUUUGGAUUUUUGGCACUUUUUCUGAUUUUAAUUUUCCAAUCUCUCUCUCUCUCUCUCUCUCUCUCUCUCUCUCUCUCUGUGUGUGUGUGUGUGUGUGUAAUCCAACUGAGGAAGAAAGCUUCAAAUCACUUAAGCUAACUCAGAACAAUUUUAUACAUUGGAGGAGAUGCCUACAGGCUGGAUUUGAUAGACUAGGCAUUUUAGAAUGUGUUAAGAAAGAAAAACUCAGUGAUAAUGAUGCCUCAAAGAUAUGGGGAAAGCAAAAUAAAUCAGCAGUCUCUGUUAUCUUCAAUAAUAUCAGAGGUGCCCAGAUGAUUCAAACCAAACAAGGUGGACCAGCUACUCCAAUGCUUCAAAAUUUGGAAAGCGCAUUUGGAUUUGCAAGAAAGCAUCUCACCCCAUGUUUGUGAAAUAUUUAUUUAGUUUGCGGCUUGAAUCCAAGAUUGUAACAGCCAGAUGACAAUGUUCCUAACCUUGGACAGAAAAGGUUUCCAUGUAUUGUUUGAGAAUGGAAAGUGCCAGGUGACCAGAGAUGGGGAACUGUAUACAGAAGCAAGUCUACUUAAUAGUGUAUAUGAGACUAAUCUUUCAUAACUCCAGUCUGCAGUGCUUUAUCAGCCAGAAUGAUGAACAGACUUAGAACUUUGGCACAGAAAGUUUGACCACAGAGACAUUAAAGGCAUUUAAGAGUUGCAAUGCAAGGAGUUCGCAAGAGGGAUGAAGGUAACCCUUGGUGCAUCAAGCUGAGAAGUGUUGAACCCCAUCCCCCCCCCGUGUACUCAGCAGAGAAGCACCUGAGUGCUUGAUACCAUCUAUGCUGAUGUGUGUGGUUCACUUAAUGUUCCCUCACUAAGGAAAAAUAAGUACAUCUUAAUAUCCUUGGUGAUUUUCCAAGAUACUGCGUUGUGCAUUUUCUCAAGGAGAAAAACAGAACCUUUGAGAUGUUCAGAAAAUACCUUGCCAUGCCUCCACAGGAAACCCACAGCACUUAUGGAUGGUAACAGCGGUCAGUUUUGUUCAUAAAAUAUGAGAACCCUCUUGGAAGAGGAAGGAAUUGCACACAUGAGGAGCGUUUGUCCUGCUCCACAACAAGAACUCAGUUGCAGAGAGAAAGUUUAGGUCUCUUAUGAAGAUGACCCAGUGCAUGCUGACUGGUACAAGCUUUCCCAAGCACAGGUGGGAAGAUGCAGUAGUCAGCUACAUUGAACUUUGGAACAGAAGAGUACCUAACUUGUCACGCAUACCUGUAUUAGACAGCAUCGCUUCUGUCUGUGUACCCAAGUAGGCCCAAGCUUGACUCCAGAGCAGAAAAAGAAAUUAUGGUAGAACUUUCUUCUGUGUUGCAGAGUUAUGGAUUUGAAAACAGGAAAAGUCAAGGUUUGAUGAACACAGUAAAUCUGACAAGAGAGGAAACUUCUCAGCAGUCAGAGGGAGAAACGUAAGACUUCGUGUACUUUCCUGAAGUAAUACGUAGCGGUUCAGAUCUGCCUUCUACUGUUCUGCCACCUACAAGAGAUGAUGAACAAGAAGAAACAGAUAACCAGUCUCCAAGAAGAAGUGCCAUCCGACAAGAUGGGAUGGAGAACGAUGAUGAGGUGCUGCCAGUUGAGGGUGAUAAGAAAGCUGGUGCAGUUCCAGAACCAGAUGGCAGAUGCUUAUCAAGACCCAACAGAAGUGUUCCACUUCCACAACAUUAAGGGUACAUUAAGGACUACAAAUCAACAGGAAGACAGUGGGCUACAAGUUAAAGCUGCCUGCUCCCCAAAUGUUCCCUGGAGAUAGAGAGAGAGAAUGCCGAAAGGAAGAUAAUGGGCUACAAGUUAAAGCUGCCUGCUCCCCAAAUGUGCCCUGGAAAGAAAGCGAGAAUGCCGAAAGGUAUGGGCUGCGAGUUAAUGAAAGGAUAGUCACUGGUGCUCCCUUGAACAUCCAUCAAGUCAGCCCAGGGUGCCACAGCAUACUGGUUGAAAACCAAUGGCCUACUGGAAGAUAAACAGAUUUGCCUGAAGUUAUUGCAGAGUGAGGAGUUCCACACAAGAACCAGCACAUCAAAGUACCACUCUGUGUGUGAAAUAAUUCAGGGUGCACUUGUUGAGAUGACUGCUACAGCAGAGAUCAAACCUCUACUGAGAGACAGUUCAGAGAACCUUCAAGUUAAAAUGGGACAAUGUUUAAAAAAAAGAAAAAAAGAAUGAUUUAAUGGAAUUUGCAGACCAGAAAAAGAUUCUGAUGGGCGAUUUAACAGAUGGAAUGAUGGAGUUUUAAAAAGUGCAAGAAGAAACAUUAGAUCAAAUAGCUAUACUAGAGAUGCACCACAGAGAACUUAUUCUGCGCAUCAGAGGCAUACCAGAAAAGCAAAACGAAGACGUAGAAGCCAAAUUAAUAAAAGAACUUGCAUGUUGACGGGCUCCCCAUAAUACGUUACAAGAAACUGGAAGAAGUCUUAGCACCAACACUCCAAAAACUCAUGAAUGAUAGAAUACAAAAAGGGAAAAUUCCACAUACAUGGGAAGAAGCAAACAUUGUUUUAAUCCACAAACAGGGGUCAUCCAGAGAAAUGGUCAGCAACUACCGACCAAUUUCACUUCUAAAUAACUAUUACAAGAUUUAUACAGGUAUUUAAUGAAUAGAUUAAAAUUGGUCUUAAAAGUAAUAAUUAACAAAGACCAGGCGGGGUUUCUCCUCGAUCACCAUAUGAAAAACAAUCUGAGGGCAAUAAGACCAGUGGUAACAGUUGGCCCUGGAGAAAAUUAACCACUCUCAAUUUUACCCGUAGACUGCCAUCUGUCCAGAUUUUCAUUUGUUCUGAUCUAAUUUUAAGAUGUAUUUUAAUUAAUUGAUUGCCUGUUUUUAUGUUCUUUGUAUACUGUGUUAGUUUUAUGAUGUUAGCCACCCUGAGCCCGGCUCCGGGGUACAAAUAAAUUUUAUUAUUACUACUA